rnacentral:rRNA from 1 species
AUUGAACGCUGGCGGCAGGCCUAACACAUGCAAGUCGAGCGAGCGGCGGACGGGUGAGUAAUGUCUGGGAAACUGCCUGAUGGAGGGGGAUAACUACUGGAAACGGUAGCUAAUACCGCAUACCAUCAGAUGUGCCCAGAUGGGAUUAGCUAGUAGGUGGGUUAACGGCUCACCUAGGCGACGAUCCCUAGCCGGUUUGAGAGGAUGACCAGCCACACUGGAACGGAGACACGGGCCAGACUCCUACGGGAGGCAGCAGUGGGGAAUAUUGCACAAUGGGCGAAAGGCUGAUGCAGCCAUGCCGCGUGUGUGAAGAAGGCUUUCGGGUUGUAAAGCACUUUCGUCAGGGAGGCGUUAUCCAAAGAAGAAGCACCGGCUAACUCCGUGCCAGCAGCCGCGGUAAUUC